rnacentral:rRNA from 1 species
ACCCAUCACUAACUGAAAAAUAUAAAUAAACAAAAUAAGCCUACACCAAAAACUUAAACCAUUCUUUUACCUGAGUAUGGGAGACAGAAAAGGUCACAUAAAGCAAUAGAGAUAGUACCGCAAGGGAAAGCUGAAAGAGAGGUGAAACAGCCCAUAUAAGCACAAAAAAGCAAAGAUUAAACCCUGUACCUUUUGCAUCAUGAUUUAGCCAGUACACCCAAGCAAAGAGACCUUUAGUUUGAAACCCCGAAACCAGGUGAGCUACCCCGAGACAGCCUAUUGAGGGCCAACCCGUCUCUGUGGCAAAAGAGUGGGAAGAGCUCCGGGUAGAAGUGACAGACCUACCGAACCUGGUGAUAGCUGGUUGCCUAGGAAAUGAAUAGAAGUUCAGCCUCAUUCCCCCUCAAAUCAAAACGCAAACAAGACACCAAGAGAUACAUAUGAGAGUUAGUUAAAGGGGGUACAGCCCCUUUAACAAAGGACACAACCUUUCCAGGAGGAUAAAGAUCAUAAUAUAUAAAAUAUACCGUUUCAGUGGGCCUAAAAGCAGCCACCUAAACAGAAAGCGUUAAAGCUCAGACGGAAAGAAGUUUAUUAUCCUGAUAAAUAAUCUUACUCCCCUAAUUACUACUAGGCCAACCCAUGCCCACAUGGGAGGGACUAUGCUAAAAUGAGUAACAAGAAGGCCCGCCCUUCUCCAAGCACAAGUGUAAGCAAAAUCGGACCCGCCAUUGGCAAUUAACGAACUCAACCCUAGAGAGCAAUGUGGACUACAAAAAGACCAAGAAGAAUCCACAAUCAACCCAUCGUUACCCCCACACUGGAGUGCAUUAAAGGAAAGACUAAAAGAAAGGGAAGGAACUCGGCAAACACAAGCCUCGCCUGUUUACCAAAAACAUCGCCUCCUGCAACACAGCCAAGUAUAGGAGGUCCAGCCUGCCCAGUGACGAUAAGUUCAACGGCCGCGGUAUCCUGACCGUGCGAAGGUAGCGCAAUCACUUGUCUUUUAAAUAGAGACCUGUAUGAAUGGCCAAACGAGGGCUUAACUGUCUCCCCUUUCAAGUCAGUGAAAUUGAUCUACCCGUGCAGAAGCGGU